ACUGCCAUCAACAGAAGGCAUACCAGCAGCCUCAGCAUCCCACCUCCAGACUGCUGACAUCUGACACCUACAAAAGAGCCUCAGAAGUGAAGCCUGCAUCCUGACCAGAUGUACUUUGAUGACAGCCCUAGGCUUUGUGUUGUUUGGGAGAUCUUGAUUUGGACAGAUGGUGUCCAGGGAGCCAAAAGGAAAAAAGGGAGAAAAGAUGCAAGAGACUGAAGGAGGUUUCUUUGUAGUUUAAUAAAAGAAAGAUAAAACCA